GGAGGUGUGGCUCAGUGGUACAGCAUCCGCUUAGCAUGCAGAAGGUCCCAGGUUUAAUCCCUGGCAUCUCCA